CAAAAUCCAGUUAUCAUCUUUCUGAGCUUUCACCUUUUGGUAUCUCUAUCGCCCCAUCUAUCUCUCAUUGUCGCAGUCUCUCCCUCGCCUCACGGUUUAGUGGCAGCACAGCCCAUCAAGCGCGGUGAUGUCGUCAUGAACUCAAUCUCUCAGAGUCACGCCUCAAGAUCGCCGCUCGUCAAGCCGUCAACCCUUCAACCAUCAUCUUCAGUCUUCACACCUCAUGGUUAAUUGUCGAUCAUCUUCUCUCAUCACUCACACCUCACGAUCUCCCUCUCGUUGGUCUAAACCUCCUGAUAUCAACUCGUCGUCUUUAGUCUUUACUACUGCAAGUGUUUUUUUUUUUUUGUUAUGUUGUGGCCUUUUUGUUUGUUUUGUUUCUGUUUAAAUUGAACCUUAUGAGGGGUUAAAUUUGUGCUAGUGUUAGUGUAUAUUGGUUAUUGGAAUUGUACCCUAAAUAUUGUGUUGAGCAAAUGCAAUGGCUAAUUCGAUAUGGCCACCGUAAGUGAAACAGAUGUAUAACUGUAUAUUGUGAGAAUAUUGAUAUGUAAACAUUAAAUCAUCAACACCCUUCAUUGCUUUCGGAAUUUCAAUAUAGA
rnacentral:lncRNA from 1 species